ACCUAUGUCUGGGCCAUGGGCUGCAACACAGGACAUGGGAGCAGCCUGCCCCCCCCCACCCGCUCGUGUCUUGUGUUGCAGCCAGUGGAACAGUCUGC
rnacentral:miRNA from 1 species